UGUACUGUUCAGUGGCAGUAUCAUAGCCAAUGAGGUCUAUCUGAGGUAUGAUUAUUGCUAAUUGGAAAUUUUCCAGUAUUUCUGAAAGGCCCUAGUGACAAGCUUGUCUUGGUUUUCACCUUAUCAUGUUCAAUAUCUCAAGAU